UUUGGAUGCGACACUUCUGCAGUGAUUAAUAUAUUGGCUCAUCGAGAUUCAACACAACGUAUGCUCAUUCAACAGGAGUACAAGACUAUGUACUCUGGGGACCUUCUUAAGCGUUUGUCUUCAGAGCUUAGUGGCAAAUUGGAGACAGCAGUUCUGCUUUGGAUGCAUGAUCCACCUGGGCGUGAUGCAAUAAUCGUGAAGCAGGGAUUAAGUUCGGACACAUUAAAUCUUGAAGCUGCCACUGAAGUAAUUUGUUCGCGCACCCCAUCUCAGAUACAGACAUUUAAACAACAUUACCAUGCAAAAUUUGGGGUGCACCUUGAGCAUGAUAUUGAAUCACAUGCCUCUGGGGAUCAUAAACAGCUCUUGCUUGCAUAUGUGAGUGUACCUCGCUAUGAAGGCCGGGAAUUUGAUAAUCAGAUGGCUCAGAAUGAUGCAAAGGCUCUUUAUAAAGCAGGAGAGAAGAAAUUGGGAACUGAUGAAAAGACUUUCAUCCGCAUAUUUAGUGAACGAAGUGCUGCACAUUUGGCUGCUGUAAAUUCUGCUUAUCAUAACAUGUAUGGAAACUCUCUGAAAAAGGCUGUAAAGGGUGAAACCUCGGGACAUUUCAAACAUGCUCUAUUGACAAUUUUGCAAUGCUCAGAGAAUCCUGCAAAGUACUUUGCAAAGGUGCUGCGCAAGGCAAU
rnacentral:misc_RNA from 1 species